ACCUGAUAGUUUAGCCAUUAGCAGAGUUUGUAGCCAGCUCAGCAAAGUCUUUGCUGCGUGCAGCUUGCAAAUGUAUCUUGUUCUGGAGACCGCCCCUUUUCCUGGGGAAAGAAGGCUCCAUUUUGAGAAGCCUCUUUCCUUCUAAACUGAAGAAGAAAGAACUUAGAUGUGCUUGAGUGGCCAAGCCAGGCCAACUCUGACAAAGCCAUUAAGCCAUAAACAGAGGAAAUUGAAGUAGACAUUUUUUGCCUCUGUCAAAGAUCAAGACAAUACUCCAUUCAUAGAAUCAUAGAAUCGUAGAGUUGGAACAGACCUCACGGGCCAUUCAUUCCAUACAUAGAAUACAUAGCAGAUUUUGUUAUCUACUGUAGGACAGAUUCAAAACCAAUGAAGAUCUGAAUUGGUUGGUGCUAGAAGAAUGAAAGAGACAUUUUAUUGGUUUGACCAUUGGACUAUGAUUUUGGAACAAGAUUUCAAUCCUUGCUUGGACAUGGAAGUCUACUAGGUGAACUUGGGCAAGUCAAACUCCCUCAGCCUGAGAUGAAAGCACAGGCCAAUCUCCUAUGAACAAAUCUGGCCCAAAAAACCCCUGUGAUCGGACUACCUUAGAAGCAACAUAAUAAGAUGGCCCACAAAAACAAGAAAGAAAAUCAACACAGCUAAACCUGAACUUGCAUAUCCUUGACUCAAGCAAGGAAACCAUGACCUUGAAUUUGCAAGACCUGAGCAGGGCAAUUGAUGACUGAUGAGCUUGUAGUGUCUCCAUAUGUCAAAGCCAACUUAAUGACAAAUAACAAUAAAAACAAUUUCUUGGCUA